GAUGAACGCUGGCGGCGUGCCUAAUACAUGCAAGUCGAGCGAACGGACGAGAAGCUUGCUUCUCUGAUGUUAGCGGCGGACGGGUGAGUAACACGUGGAUAACCUACCUAUAAGACUGGGAUAACUUCGGGAAACCGGAGCUAAUACCGGAUAAUAUUUUGAACCGCAUGGUUCAAAAGUGAAAGACGGUCUUGCUGUCACUUAUAGAUGGAUCCGCGCUGCAUUAGCUAGUUGGUAAGAUAACGGCUUACCAAGGCAACGAUGCAUAGCCGACCUGAGAGGGUGAUCGGCCACACUGGAACUGAGACACGGUCCAGACUCCUACGGGAGGCAGCAGUAGGGAAUCUUCCGCAAUGGGCGAAAGCCUGACGGAGCAACGCCGCGUGAGUGAUGAAGGUCUUCGGAUCGUAAAACUCUGUUAUUAGGGAAGAACAUAUGUGUAAGUAACUGUGCACAUCUUGACGGUACCUAAUCAGAAAGCCACGGCUAACUACGUGCCAGCAGCCGCGGUAAUACGUAGGUGGCAAGCGUUAUCCGGAAUUAUUGGGCGUAAAGCGCGCGUAGGCGGUUUUUUAAGUCUGAUGUGAAAGCCCACGGCUCAACCGUGGAGGGUCAUUGGAAACUGGAAAACUUGAGUGCAGAAGAGGAAAGUGGAAUUCCAUGUGUAGCGGUGAAAUGCGCAGAGAUAUGGAGGAACACCAGUGGCGAAGGCGACUUUCUGGUCUGUAACUGACGCUGAUGUGCGAAAGCGUGGGGAUCAAACAGGAUUAGAUACCCUGGUAGUCCACGCCGUAAACGAUGAGUGCUAAGUGUUAGGGGGUUUCCGCCCCUUAGUGCUGCAGCUAACGCAUUAAGCACUCCGCCUGGGGAGUACGACCGCAAGGUUGAAGCUCAAAGGAAUUGACGGGGACCCGCACAAGCGGUGGAGCAUGUGGUUUAAUUCGAAGCAACGCGAAGAACCUUACCAAAUCUUGACAUCCUUUGACAACUCUAGAGAUAGAGCUUUCCCCUUCGGGGGACAAAGUGACAGGUGGUGCAUGGUUGUCGUCAGCUCGUGUCGUGAGAUGUUGGGUUAAGUCCCGCAACGAGCGCAACCCUUAAGCUUAGUUGCCAUCAUUAAGUUGGGCACUCUAAGUUGACUGCCGGUGACAAACCGGAGGAAGGUGGGGAUGACGUCAAAUCAUCAUGCCCCUUAUGAUUUGGGCUACACACGUGCUACAAUGGACAAUACAAAGGGCAGCGAAACCGCGAGGUCAAGCAAAUCCCAUAAAGUUGUUCUCAGUUCGGAUUGUAGUCUGCAACUCGACUACAUGAAGCUGGAAUCGCUAGUAAUCGUAGAUCAGCAUGCUACGGUGAAUACGUUCCCGGGUCU
rnacentral:rRNA from 1 species